GACGUAGGGCGCGAGCGUUGUCCGGAUUUAUUGGGCGUAAAGAGCUCGUAGGCGGCUUGUCGCGUCGUUCGUGAAAACCCAUGGCUCAACUGUGGGCUUGCGGUCGAUACGGGCAGGCUAGAGUUCGGUAGGGGAGACUGGAAUUCCUGGUGUAACGGUGAAAUGCGCAGAUAUCAGGAGGAACACCGGUGGCGAAGGCGGGUCUCUGGGCCGAUACUGACGCUGAGGAGCGAAAGCGUGGGGAGCGAACAGG
rnacentral:rRNA from 1 species